GAUUACCUGCCCUGUAGGUGAUAUGUGGAAAAAUUGAUCCGGCAAAUUAGAUCUUUCGGGAGUCUGCUUAAGGUAUUGGUGUGCAUGUUGCCCAGGUGGCAAAAGCCUGAAGAUACCUUUAUGACACCCACCUAUAAUUCAGGCGGAUCUGAUUCUCCACAUACACGGCAGGGCGGGGUCACA
rnacentral:other from 1 species